rnacentral:rRNA from 1 species
UACGUAGGGUGCAAGCGUUAAUCGGAAUUACUGGGCGUAAAGCGUGCGCAGGCGGUUGUACAAGCUUGAUGUGAAAGCCCCGGGCUUAACCUGGGAACGGCAUUGAGGACUGUACAGCUAGAGUACGUCAGAGGGGGGUAGAAUUCCACGUGUAGCAGUGAAAUGCGUAGAGAUGUGGAGGAAUACCGAUGGCGAAGGCAGCCCCCUGGGAUGAUACUGACGCUCAUGCACGAAAGCGUGGGGAGCAAACAGG